GUAUAAGAGACAGCAGCAGCCACGGUAACACAGAGGGUGCGAGCGUUAAUCGGAUUUACUGGGCGUAAAGCGUGCGUAGGCGGCUUCUUAAGUCGGAUGUGAAAUCCCUGAGCUUAACUUAGGAAUUGCAUUCGAUACUGGGAAGCUAGAGUAUGGGAGAGGAUGGUAGAAUUCCAGGUGUAGCGGUGAAAUGCGUAGAGAUCUGGAGGAAUACCGAUGGCGAAGGCAGCCAUCUGGCCUAAUACUGACGCUGAGGUACGAAAGCAUGGGGAGCAAACAGGAUUAGAUACCCCGGUAGUCCCUGUCUCUUAUAC
rnacentral:rRNA from 1 species